rnacentral:snoRNA from 1 species
UAGAUCAGUGAUGAUUACUGGUGGCGUAUGAGUCAUAUACGAUGAAUACGUGUCUGGAAUUCUGAGGUCCAA